rnacentral:lncRNA from 1 species
CUCCUUCACCGUCUCCUCCUCCACCUUAUUACUACAAGUCUCCACCUCCUCCAUCUCCAUCACCACCCCCACCUUAUUAUUACAAGUCUCCACCACCACCGGUUAAGUCACCUCCUCCCCCAUACUAUUACAGCUCUCCACCACCUCCAGUGAAGUCUCCCCCUCCACCAUACUACUACUCCUCGCCGCCACCACCAAAGAAAUCACCUCCCCCACCAUAUCACUACACUUCUCAACCACCACCUAAGAAAUCACCUCCUCCAUCAUAUUACUACAAUUCCCCACCACCACCAGUGAAGUCACCUCCAGCUCCAUACUACUACAAGUCUCCACCUCCCCCAACCCCGACAUAUGUUUAUAAGUCACCACCUCCUCCAUCACCAAAGUAUGUGUACAAGUCGCCACCUCCCCCAACCCCAACAUAAGUUUAUGAGUCACCACCUCCUACAUCACCAAAGUAUGUGUACAAGUCGCCACCUCCCCCAUCCCCAACAUAUGUGAACAAGUCAUGCACCUCCUCUAUCACCAAAGUAUGUGUACAAGUCGCCACCUCCCCCAACCCCGACAUACGUUUAUAAGUCUCCACCACCACCUGAUUACUAUUACAAAUCUCCACCACCACCAACUAAGUCUCGACCGUCUCAUUAUUAUUACAAGUCUCUACCUCCACCAUCACCAAAACCUGCACCAGUAUAUUAUUAUAAAUCACCACCACCCCGUCACCAUCGCCUCCACCACCUUACUAUUAUAAAUCUCCGCCACCACCAACUAAGUCUCCCCCACCUCCUUAUUACUACAAGUCUCCACCUCCACCAUCACCAAAACCUGUACCAGUAUACUAUUACAAGUCUCCGCCACCACCAUCGCCGUCUCCUCCUCCACCAUACUAUUACAAGUCCCCACCACCACCAUCUCCAUCACCUCCACCAUCCCCAUCACCACCUCCACCCUACUACUACAAGUCGCCUCCUCCACCGUCACCUUCUCCACCACCUCCCUACUACUACAAGUCACCUCCUCCACCAUCUCCUUCUCCUCCACCUCCACCGGUAAAGUCUCCUCCUCCACCUGUGAAAUCACCUCCUCCACCAGUAUACAUUUAUGCUUCCCCACCACCACCAACUCACUACUAAGUAUUUCUAGGAGCUCAACCAUUCACCCGAAUCAAUCAAAUUUCCAUUUGAAGCACAAAAUAAUGGACCAGUUUGCUUCAACUUCUCUUUUGGCCGUCUUGCUCAUUGUUCUCAUUUCUUGUUAUCAGUGAAAUGACUUCAAUAACUUAGCUCACAAAAAGUUAUUAGUUAUUUCCUAAUCUUUGAGAAAUUAGAGUUGGUUUCUUGAUAAUCAAUUAUUUGUAUCGAGGAUGUCCUCAAUGUAUUCAUUAAUUUCCUAUUAGUUAUUGUAUGUUGCUUCCUUUUACCUUGUACUUCGUGAACAAAUCAAUAAGAAUUUUGUUGUUAGGAGUUAAGUCAAUUAGUUCAAUUAAUUAUCAAUCAGAUGUCUUGCCCAGAUAUGGCUUUCCGUAGAAUUCUAUAUGUAUCUAUCGAGUAUGGUAUUUUGUUUACUCACUAUAAGUUGAGUAUCCGUUUCCCUCCCUUUCCUACUAGGAUUGAAAAUCCUAUAUUUUACAUGUCCAUAUAAUUGAGUCGUUGAGUCCCCGAAAUAGUAUAAAAGAAGUGCUUCAAAUCAUGGAUAUUUGACUCGGACCAGUUCUAAAAAAGUCGAGGUAUUCCAAAUUGUUUUUUGACACGAACAAAGUCAGGAAAAACUAAUCUUGAAUUUCAAAAUAUGAAAAGUGAGUUAAAGCAAGUGGACAUAUUAUCAAUAAUGUCUUUGAUAUUUAGUAUUAGAGGAACAAAAAUAUUUGGGAGAUAUACAUGAAAAAAUUUUAGACGGAAUAACAAAAUUUCUCACUAUUUAUUGAAUGUAAAUGAAUAAAUUUGCCUCUUAAUCCCUUAAAUAUAGUUGAUUAAUCAAUCUUGAAAAUGUUAGCAAAUUAUGAAAUCACAUGAUGUUGAUUCAACAUUCUCCUCACGAUUUUAUCAACUAGACCAUGCACGUAGUUACCUCACUAUAGGACUUCCAAAAGCCAUCUCUAAAUCUCACAAACAAUUAACAGACAAUUACAUUAUUCUCUUAUUUAACAAUCUACUAAUUAAAAAAUUACUUAAUUCUGAUACUGUAUUAACUGGCCAUUGAGGUAAUGAGGUCUUCUUUCAAUGCCAGGAAUAAUUGAACCAUAGAAUAAAUAAUUGAUUUGUUUCUCUUUCGUUUAUUUUUUAUAUCAUGUUUUAAGUUGACUUGUACAUAAUAGUAAGACUUUUGAUCUUAAAUAUGCCAUGACAUUUUUAUUGCUACAAAAGCAUAUCAUCCAAUAAUGAAAUGAAAAUUCAAAGUCAAUUUUUUUUGAAUAUAAAAAUGUGUCAUUUAUUGAGCAAACUAAUAAAGAACGAAUAUCAUAUAGAAUAAAGCAAAGAAAGUAGUAAAAGGCAGUAGUUCUUUAUCGAGUAUGUACAAAGACAAUUUAUAUCAAUAUAUACAGGUAAAAUCUUACCUACAUCCGAUGUUUACACUAAGCUAAUACAUGCAUGCCAUGCGUUUGAAUUUAAAGUUCAUUUUCCUUACCCACAAUUAAUUAGCAUGUGGUUUACUUCAUUAAAUUACUUAACCAUGAUAAAUUGCAUUAGUUUAAUGUAAACACCGGAUGAAUUUUCACACAUUACAGAGAGUUAUGAGGGUUUUUAAUCUUUGCAUGAGACGACAUGUGCAAGGAAACAAAAAUAUAAUGGAAAGGUAGUGGAAAUAUUGAAAGUUAGCAAUCAUUUUCCCUUACACAAUUUUGUGGCAUGUGUGUCGCUUUGUAGCAGGAAAUUGUUACUACAACUUGUUAUAUAGAUAUUGUGGAAAUAUUCUAAGUGAUCAAGAAAUGGAUGUUAAUAAACAAGAUAAAUAUUAGUAAAUCCAGUUGUUAUAUUUUAGUCUAUGAUUAUCAAUUGGAACAAUUGAAUUGGUCACUUAGACAGCUCUAUACCAAAGACGACUUAUAUUAUUCUCAUAUUUAAUAGAGCAAUCGAACUAAUCAGAAAGUGCUUCUGACAUGGGAUUUGUUCAUGAGUACAAGGUAUAAGGAAGCAACAUACAAAAACUAAUAGGAAAUGAAUAAAAUGAGGACAUCCUCAAUACAAAUAAUUAAUUAUCAAGAAACCAACUCUAUGAAGCAUCAAAGCUCAUAUACAUUCAAGCACCCAUAACUAAUAACUUUUUGUGAGCUAAGUUAUUGAAGUCAUUUCCCUGAUAACAAGAAAUGAGAACAAUGAGCAAGACAGCCAAAGGAGAAGUUGAAGCAAACUGGUCCAUUAUUUUCUGCUUCAAAUGGAAAUUUGAUUGAUUCGGGGGAAUGGUUGAGCUCCUAGAAAUACUUAGUAGUGAGUUGGAGGUGGUGGGGAAGCAUAAAUUUAUACUGGUGGAGGAGGUGAGCUGUAGUAAUAUGGUGAAGGAGGAGACUUUACCGGUGGAGGUGGAGAGUGGUAGUAGUAAGGAGGUGGAGGAGAAGGCGAUGGUGGAGGAGGUGACAUGUAGUAGUAGGGAGGUGGUGGAGAAGGUGACGGUGGAGGAGGUGACUUGUAGUAGUAGGGUGGAGGUGGUGAUGGGGAUGGUGGAAGAGGAGACUUGUAGUAGUAGGGUGGUGGAGGAGAUGGCGAUGGAGGUGGUGGUGACUUGUAGUAGUAUGGUGGAGGGGGAGAAGGCGAUGGAGGAGGAGGAGACUUGUAGUAGUAGGGUGGUGGAGGUGAUGGUGAUGGUGGUGGUGGUGACUUGUAGUUGUAGGGUGGUGGAGGUGAUGGAGAUGGUGGUGGUGGAGACUUGUAAUAGUAUGGUGGAGGGGGAGAUGGCGAUGGUGGCGGUGGAGAUUUGUAAUAGUAUACAGGUGCAGGUUUUGGUGAUGGUGGAGGUGGAGACUUGUAGUAAUAAGUAGGUGGGGGAGACUUAGUUGGUGGUGGCGGAGAUUUAUAAUAGUAAGGUGGUGGAGGCGAUGGUGACGGGGGUGGUGGUGAUUUAUAAUAGUAUACUGGUGCAGGUUUUGGUGAUGGUGGGGGUGGAGACUUGUAAUAAUAAUGAGUUGGUGGAGACUUAGUUGGUGAUGGUGGAGACUUAUAAAUAUAUGUCGGGGUUGGGGGAGGUGGCGAUUUGUACACAUACUUCGGUGAUUGAGGAGGUGGUGACUUAUAAACAUAUGUUGGGGUUGAGGGAGGUGGCGACUUGUACACAUACUUCGGUGAUGGAGGAGGAGGAGAUUUAUAAUAGUAUGGAGCGGGCGUAGGCUUGGGCUUUUGGCAUUCUGCAUAAGGUGUAUUAGAUCCAUAAGCAAAUGGUUUUGCAUAGAGAACAACUUCAUAACUAUUCUUCGAUUUCACUUUAAGGUUAGCACCCCUAAUUCCCCAAUGAAGGUUUGUAGGAAUGCUACACUUUGAAUCCUUUGGAGCAUUAUGGAGUUUAGCCUUGCAAGCCUUUGCUCCAUAUUUGCGAUAUUCAAAUCCUUCAACCGCGAUGCUAAAUUUGCCAUUGAUCUUUGUGGUACCAUAACUCACAAUUUUCUUGUCACCAGCCUUGCAAGUGACUUCAACAACAGCACCUAAACCAGGAGAAAAUAGAAAUAAUACAUUAAUUAACACCAAAACAAAGAUCUGCUAACAUAUGAUCAUUUAGAUAUUUCCCUUGAAAGAACUAUCUCUGCCCUAUAUUCAUUACAUAAAAUAGUAAAACCUUUUGUCCUAACUUCAUUAUAGUAAAUUUUUAUCCAAAUGAAAACUUAUUUUUCACAGAAUAAAUACUUCUUUCAAGCAAGAACUAACAACUUUCGUUUUCAAUAUCUUUUACUCAAUUGUCACAAUAAUGACUAUAGUUAUUGCCUUAAAAAAAAAAUUUGACGUUUCAAAAUCUUAAUUUUAACUAUACAUGCUGACGACAACAAAAGACGAUCGAAGAUCCAAAUAAAAAGAGACACAUUUAUGAAUUAUGAUAAAAGCAUACGAAAAGCAGCAAAAAGGAGAAUGUAUAACUGGAUAAUUUGUUUUAUGAAAAAUUAAGAGAAAAAAAAGAAGUGUGCAUGGUAUAAAGACUGUGGUACCUUUCAGAUGUUUCUUGCCGUGCGACAUCUCUGGAUUCUUCCAAUUAUAGCAUCUGAAACAAUAUACUUUUCCGACAACUUUGACCACGAAUUGAUGAUGUGGAGGAUAGUAAUGAGUUGGUGGUGGGGGUGAAGUGUAGUAGUAUGGUGGGGAAGAAGACUUCUUUGGUGGUGGUGGAGACUUGUAGUAGUAUGAAGUUGGAGGCGACUUCACUGGUGGUGGUGGGGAACUGUAGUAAUAUGGCGGAGGAGGUGAUUUCUUGGGUGGUGGUGGGGAGCUGUAAUAAUAUGGAGGAGUUGGUGACUUAACAGGUGGUGGUGGAGAAGUGUAGUGAUAUGGUGGGGGAGGUGAUUUCUUGGGUGGUGGUGGAGAGUUAUAAUAGUAUGGAGGAGGCAGUGACUUAACAGGUGGUGAUGGAGAAGUGUAGUGAUAUGGUGAGGGAGGUGAUUUCUUGAGUGGUGGUGGAGAGUUGUAGUAGUAUGGAGGUGGCGGUGACUUAACAGGUGGUGGUGGCGAGGAGUAGUAGUAUGGUGGAGGGGGAGACUUUAUUGGUGGUGGUGGAGAGCUAUAGUAGUAUGGGGGAGGAGGUGAUUUAGUAGGUGGUGGUGGAGACUUGUAAUAGUAGGGUGGGGGUGGUGAUGGGGAUGGUGGAGGAGGAGACUUGUAGUAAUAAGGUGGGGGAGGAGACGGUGAAGGGGGUGGUGGAGAUUUGUAGUAGUAUGGUGGUGGUGGUGAAGGAGAAGGUGGCGGUGGAGAUUUAUAGUAGUAUGGUGGUGGUGGUGAUGGUGAAGGAGGAGGUGGAGAUUUGUAGUAAUAUGGAGGUGGUGGUGAGGGUGAGGGUGGAGGAGGAGACUUGUAGUAAUAUGGUGGAGGUGGAGACGGUGACGGAGGAGGUGGAGACUUAUACACAUAAGGUGGUGGUGGAGAUGGCGAUGGAGGUGGUGGAGACUUAUACACAUAUGGAGGAGGUGGAGGUGGAGAUGGAGACAGAGGAGGAGGUGACUUAUAAACAUAAGGUGAUGGGGGAGAUGGCGAGGGAGGAGGUGGAGAUUUGUACACAUAGGGUGGUGGUGGAGAUGGCGAAGGAGGAGGUGGUGACUUGUACUCAUAAAUUGGAGGUGGUGGAGAAGAGUACACAUAAGGGUCUGCUGACAUUACAUUAGCAACAGCUAAUAUGGCCAAUGCCACUAUGAUUUGUGGCAAAUAUUGACGACCCUUGGCAGGGCCGGCCCCGUGAAGCCUCAUUUUUUCGGAAAGUUACACCUUUAGUUUUUCAGUUGAGAAGUGAUGCUUUUAGAGGAUUCAUUAGCCUAUGUAUUUAUAGUAACACUCCUUGAGUAAUAGUUGUUAGUAAAGAGCUGUCUAAAGGACCAAUUCUGAUAUUACUUAUAAAAAGUCCACUUCUUGAUCACUUUUGAAUUAUGAAUAUUUUCAUUAAAUUUCUUUAUUAAGCUAUAAAGAAAAUGAGAAGAACAUAUGAAUGUGCAAAGAGCUAGGCAUAUCACUUCACAUGCCACAAAAUGGUGCUAGGAAAAAUGAUUGCUAAUUUUCAAUAUUUCCACUCUCUUACCAUUUUGGUUUCCAUGUGUUGCCUCUCAUGGACAAUGAGAUACUACAAGUAUCUACAAUAAUAUUGAAUGAUAAUCAUAUCCAUAGUUUAAAAUGUUUAGUUAGUGGUAAAAACAUCAAACUUUUAACUUUCGAUCGUCUUUAGUUGAAGCGCUUUACCCUCCUAAAGUGGGAUUUUCCGACAUGAAUCUAAAUUAUUUAGACGCUAAACUGAACAGCAUGAAUGGGAAACCAAAAAAUAAAAAUCCUUCCUAUGCAUGGUUUAAUUACUUGUUAAAAAAGCAAUUUGGUGCAUUAAGCUCUCGUUAUGCAUAGUAGUGGCGGAGUCAGAAUUUUCACUAAGGGGUUCGUAAGUGAAUAUAUAAAAACUAAUCGAAAGAGGUUCAACAUCUAAUAUAUAUAGAUAAAAGAUAAUUUUAACCAUCUAUAUAAUAGCAUAAUUUUCCACCAAAGGGGGUUCGAAUGAGCCCCCUAAACCAAGUGUAGCUCCGCCACUAAUGCGUAGGGUUCGGGAAAGAGCCGAACUACAAGGAUUUAUUAUACGCAUUCUUAUAGGCUAUUUCCACGACUUGAAUCCAACUCCCAGAUCAAAUGACAUCAACUUUUCUAGUUACUCCGAGACUCCGUUUCUAUUUAAUUACUUGUUGCCGACAAGAAAUGUUGGUCUAGAAAAUUAGAGUACAACAAUAUAUUCAUUGAAAUGUUGUAACAACUCCAUUGUACUUUGUGAUAUAUACUUAAAAAUAAGUUUGACUAAUUAUUUUAUUUUGAGAUACUUUCAUUAAUUUAAUUUCAUAAGCAUUUGUUCAUGAAUUGAGUUAUUAAAAAUUAAUUUCUUUCGUUUUCGAAUUAUACCAAUUAUAAAUUAAUACCUAAUAAGUUUAUUAAGAGUCUUUAAUUUUUUGAGACUGGGUAUGCACUACUAUUAAUUCAAAUGAAGUACAAAUCCGUACUUUAGAUAUUCCAUAAUUUCUUUAUUAGUACACAUUUGCAAAAUCAAAAUAUUUCUGUAAUUUUUGUAUGAAGAUUUAAGUUAGAUAUUAAAUUGCAUGUAUUGAAGGAGUAAAAAAUAUUUAUAUAAUUAGGUCAUUUAUUUGCUAAUUAUAGGUAAAUUUGUUGUCGAACAUUUCAUCAUAUAACUUGAAUGAUUUGACCAUUAACUUAACUCAUAUAAUCAUAGGUAUAAUUAUCUUAUAAAUGAUCUGAUUAUAUAAAUUCAAUAAGAGUAUAUAACUUAAAUUUUAGGCGUUCGUAUGUAAACAUGUUCUUUAAUUUGGCCUCACCUGACAUCUAUAUAUGACUUUCAACGUUGAAUGUCCAUAAAUUGACACUUAAACUAGUAUAAAGUCUAACAAGUAGAUACAUAUUCUACGUGACAAUUUACGUGAGACUCCAUGUAGGACGUCGCAUAGGAUAUGUCAUGUGUUACUAGUUCAUCUUUAUAAAAGUUUAAGUGUCUAUUUUUACAUAAUCAAAAUUGAAACAUAAAUGUCAUUUGAGGCCAUGUUAAAAUAUAUAUAUACACAUAUAUAUAUCCUAAACUCUAAGAGUAAAUGUAUCCAUUAAAUUUUGCCGGACACAAUUAUUUAGUACACGUGUUGAUGAAAAGAAUAGGUACCUCUGUAAAAUUAAAGGAGGUGCACAUAAAUUGACACGAAUAUCAUAAUAUAAAAAAAAAUGUUUUGUACUAUUGUACUACUCCUAUAAUGUUCUAAUUAUUUCUUCUAUAUGUCUUAAUCUUUUAUUAGUUUGAUAAUUAAUUGUAAAUUCGUAUUAUCAAAUCGUGAAAGAAUAUAGACGUGGAUUGAUCAACUUUUCAGAGUAAACAUACCCAUAAUAUAUAGUACAAUUUUUCUUGAAAAACUAUUAAUGUGUAGUCAUAUCUCUUUGCUUAAUUCGUUUUUCAUUUUGUUACUAUUAAUUAUUUUGGUUUUGACAUUUUUGUGAUACACUGAGGAAUAAUUGUCGUUGUAUUAUGCACUUUUUGUAUUUUCAUUGUACUAAUAUGUGAUCAACAGAUCACGAAUUCAAAUCUUAAAAAUAACUGCGUACAAUUAGACUCUUGUGGAGGGAUUCUUUUCCGAAUUCUGUGCAUAGCGAGAAAUUUAGUGCAUCGAGCCACUCUAUUUGUUGAUAAUGAAUUUACUAAUUUAAUUAUCUUGAUCAAGUCAUUCAAAUUAAAUUAGAUCUCAUCUUUUCAAUUUGAAGAAAAUGUCAAAAAUAUUUUAUCCAUUUUUCACACAGAAAGCUACUGACUCUAACCAAAGGUGAUAUUUGGUUGCAGUGGAUUAAACAAAUCUUCACACAAAAUUAAAUAUUGUUAAUACAAUGUUAAUUGAACAUAUAAAGGUUACAUGAUAUAAUACAAGAACUUCUUAGUGUCAGUAUUUUUAUCUUUUUUUUUUUUUUUGAAUAAUCAUGUGUCCUCGUCAACUUACGUGUACUUCAACUAAUUUCACGAGAGAUCUAUCAUCUCCCACCGCAAGAAGUACCAGAUAAUUAACUCUCCAUCAAAGCUAGAACAAAUAAUAAAUGAUAAAUUAAAUAAGUUUUUUAAAGUUUAUUUAAUCUCACAAACAAUUAUUCUCAUAUUUAAUAGUGCAAAUCUACUAAUCAGAAAGUGCUUCUGACAUGGGAUUAACUGGCUUUUGAGAUAUAAUAUUUAACUGAACCAUCUUCAACAAGUUGUAUAUAUUUUAAUUUAAUUCGAUAGGUUAUUUAUUAUUAUUAUUUUCAUAUUUUUUAUUCACAUUUACUAUAUGAUUAGCUCAAAUUAUGGCUUCUACUUCUUUUUUAUAGCGAUGUUCGGACCAGCUUUCGCGCACUUCGAUUAAUUUUAUGAAAUAUCAGUCAGCUUUCACUAGCAAUGCAUAUUAAAUAACUUUGUCCAUCAAAACUAGAACCAGUGGCAGAUUUAGGAUUUAGAGUCGUUGGUGCUCGUGAGUUUUGAACACACACAUAUUGACAUCAGAAUCUAGGGUCGUGGGUGCUUGUGAAGUUUGAAGACGCAUAUUGACAUCCAAAGCUUUAAGAUUCUACUGGAAAUCAAAGCACUCAAGUACCUUCUUGGUUUCAUGAGUUUUUUUUUUAAAGCUUAUAUCAAUUUUUAUAAAAAAAAGUUUAUAUAAUUAUACCUGAUCUGCGUCAAAUUUAACGGAUGAUAGAGCACCAAAAAUGUACAUAUAGGUCCGCCCCUUGAUUAGAACAGAUGAGAAGAAUCACCUAAUAUUCUAUCUUUAAUGGAAUUUGAACCCAAAAUCUGAUGAUUCUUAAACCACCAAGGCUUCUACAUAAUUUAAUAGUACAAAAAUUUGAUAACGACGACAGCAACACACCUAGUGAGCUCCCACAAGUGAGGUCCGAAGAGGAUAAAGUAUACGCAGACCUUACCAUCACCUUGAGGAGGUGGAGAAGUUGUUUUCGAAAGACCCUCGACUCAAUUAUAGCAAAUUAAUGUUGUUUAAAAUUUCUAGUUGGCAAUAAGUAAUUCUUUAGCCAUCAACAUAGACAACAAAACAAAUUUUCAUGUAGUUUUGCAAAAGAAAAGAAAAACAUUGUACAUUAGCUAGAUAAAAGUAAAAAAUUAAAACACAAAAUUAGUCACUAUAUAGAAAAUUUGCAUUGUUUAAUUUCCUUUUUGGAAAUCCAAUUGUGAAAACAAAUUGUGAAAUCUUCCAGAGGUCGAGGGUUCGACCUUGGGCAUGGAGAAAAUUCUGUUGGGAGCGCUACCCCCCAAAUGGAGCCCUAAUCGGCACGAAUACGGAUUAGUCGGGCUCCAAUAUGGGUACAGGACACCAGAUGGGAAACCAAAAAACAAAAAAAAGUAAAAUCUUAGUGAUCUUUUCUAUCUAAUGAAUCAAAAUCUGCUUUAACAUCAUCUAUCUUGUACGUAUCUCCGAGUAUACGAGUGUCUUCUUACUACGAAAAAGAAAUGAGAAAAUAUAUGAUUCUCAAAACUCCACCCAUUCUCUCCUCUCUUUUGUCUAAACAAUUUCAUUGACUAUAUGUAGAACAAUUCGACAUAAAUUGAUACCGACACCUCAAAAUUUGGUAAUCUCAACUUCAGUAUAUUUGAAUUCAAUACAUUUCAAACCUAUAAACUUCAAAUUUUGGAUCCGUUUAUUUCCAAAGUCAACCACACUACUAACAUAGGCCUGCUAAGAAAAUAGAAAUAACAAAGAAACAGACAAGAAGACCAAAUAAUUGUAUGAUCUCAGUGUUCAUAAAAUGCUUCCAUGUGGCAACGUGUAGAGAAUAACAAAAAAACUAUGUCAAUAGAGUAAGUGGAAAUAUUAAAAACUAUCAAUCAAUGUCUAUGCACAUUCAUAUGUUGUUUCUCAUUUUCUAUGUAGCAGGUAACAAACUACUAGUUGUCAUAAAGAUAAAAGUUGGAAAACUGGAAAUAUUCAAAGUGAUACAAAGAUGGACUUUUAAUAAAUAAGAUGUAAAACUUGUAGAUCCAGCUGUUAAGAGUUGUUUAAUAUACUUUUUACACUUUGAUUGUUAAUUAGAGCAAUUUGAAUUGGUCAUUUAGACAGCUCUUUACUAACAACUAGUGUGUUACUAUAAAUAGAUAGGCCAAUGAAUCCUCUAAAGGCAUCAGUUCUCAACUGAAAAACUAAACUUGUCUUCUUUCUUCUUCCCUUAACUAGCCACAUUUGGGAGGCUAGGUGGUGUAUUUUCCUGAAAAAUGAGGCUUCACGGUGGCGGCCCUGCCAAGGGUCGUCGACAUUUGCCACAAAUUUUAGUGGCAUUGGCCAUAUUGGCUGUUGCUAAUGUAGUGUCAGCAGACCCUUAUGUGUACUCUUCUCCACCCCCUCCAACGUAUGAGUACAAAUCACCACCACCUCCUUCGCCUUCUCCACCGCCACCUUAUGUGUACAAAUCUCCACCUCCUCCAUCACCUUCUCCUCCGCCACCAUAUGUGUACAAGUCUCCACCUCCUCCGUCACCAUCUCCACCACCACCCUAUGUGUAUAAGUCUCCCCCACCUCCAUCGCCAUCUCCACCACCACCAUAUGUGUAUAAGUCUCCCCCACCUCCAUCGCCAUCUCCACCUCCACCAUAUUACUACAAGUCUCCUCCUCCACCAUCACCUUCACCACCACCUCCAUAUUACUACAAGUCGCCACCUCCACCUUCACCAUCACCUCCACCACCAUACUAUUACAAAUCUCCACCACCGCCCUCACCAUCACCACCCCCGCCAUACUAUUAUAAGUCUCCACCACCACCUUCUCCUUCACCUCCUCCACCAUACUACUACAAAUCUCCACCACCUCCUUCACCAUCUCCUCCUCCACCUUAUUACUACAAGUCUCCACCUCCUCCAUCUCCAUCACCACCUUCACCAUACUACUACAAGUCUCCACCACCACCGCUUAAGUCACCUCCUCCCCCAUACUAUUACAGCUCUCCACCACCACCAGUGAAGUCUCCCCCUCCACCAUACUACUACUCCUCGCCACAACCACCAAAGAAAUCACCUCCCCCAUCAUAUCACUAUACUUCUCCACCACCACCUGUUAAGUCACCACCUCCUCCAUACUAUUACAGCUCCCCACCACCACCAAAGAAAUCACCUCCCCCAUCAUAUCACUAUACUUCUCCACCACCACCUGUUAAGUCACCACCUCCUCCAUACUAUUACAGCUCCCCAUCACCACCAAAGAAAUCACCUCCUCCGCCAUAUUACUACAGUUCCCCACCACCACCAGUGAAGUCACCUCCAACUCCAUACUACUACAAGUCUCCUCCACCACCACCAAAGAAAUCUUCUCCCCCACCAUACUACUACAAUUCACCACCACCACCAACUCAUUACUAUCCUCCACAUCAUCAAUUCGUGGUCAAAGUUGUCGGAAAAGUAUAUUGUUUUAGAUGUUACGACUGGAAGCACCCAGAGAUGUCUCACAGCAAGAAACACCUGAAAGGUAUCACAAUAUAAUUUAUACAACACUCGCAUUCCUUAUUUUCCUUUAAUAUAUCAUCAAAAAUAUAUUUAACUAUAUAUUUUCUUUUUUGUUGCUUUCUUCCUUACGCUCUUAAAAGAAUUCAUAAAUGUGUAUCUUUAUUUGGAUCUUUGAUCCAUUUCUGUUUUUCCAAAUGUGAAGUAACAUUAAAAUUUAAAGAGUCAAGAAAUUUUAUAAGGCAAGGACUAUAUCUAUAAUUGUGACUACAGAGUAAAACAUAUUGAAAAUGAAGGUACUCCGUUCUUUCUUGCAAAUGAAGAAUUAAUAUUGAGUGUGAUUCAUUCUCACAUUGGCUGACAAAAGUCUGUACACAUUGGCACACAAGUUGCCAUUAACAUGCAGUUUGUUUCCCUUAUUAGAUUACAAAAUAUUCUUUAUCGUGUGAUGAGAAGGUUUGUUUUAUUUCAUAUUAUGAGGUAAAAAGUGCUCGGAUCUAAAUGAUCAUCAUUAGUAUUGGAGUUAAUUAACGUUAAUUGUUACAUGAAUUAGGUGCUGUUGUUGAAGUCACUUGCAAGGCUGGUGACAAGAAAAUUGUGAGUUAUGGUACCACAAAGAUCAAUGGCAAAUUUAUCAUCACGGUUGAAGGAUUUGAAUAUCGCAAAUAUGGAGCAAAGGCUUGCAAGGCUAAACUCCACAAUGCUCCAAAGGAUUCAAAGUGUAGCAUUCCUACAAAUCUUCAUUGGGGAAUUAAGGGUGCUAACCUCAAAGUGAAAUCAAAGAAUAGUUAUGAAGUUGUACUUUAUGCAAAACCAUUUGCUUAUGGAUCUAAGACACCUUACGCAGAAUGCCAAAAGCCCAAGCCUACACCUGCUCCAUACUAUUAUAAAUCUCCUCCACCUCCAUCACCGACUUAUGUGUACAAGUCACCACCUCCUCCAUCACCAAAGUAUGUGUACAAGUCACCACCUCCCCCAACCCCGACAUAUGUUUAUAAGUCUCCACCACCACCUGCUUACUAUUACAAAUCACCGCCGCCACCAACUAAGUCUCCACCACCUCAUUAUUAUUACAAGUCUCCACCUCCACCAUCACCAAAACCUGCACCAGUAUACUAUUAUAAAUCACCACCACCCCCAUCACCGUCGCCACCCCCACCUUACUACUACAAGUCCCCGCCACCCCCAUCACCAAAACCUGCACCUGUUUACUAUUAUAAAUCACCACCACCCCCAUCACCGUCACCACCCCCACCUUACUACUACAAGUCCCCGCCACCCGCAUCACCAAAACCUGCACCUGUUUACUAUUAUAAAUCACCACCACCCCCAUCACCGUCACCACCCCCACCUUACUACUACAAGUCCCCACCACCACCAUCACCUUCUCCCCCACCUCCCUACUACUAUAAGUCUCCUCCACCACCAUCGCCAUCUCCUCCUCCACCAUACUAUUAUAAGUCCCCUCCUCCACCAACUCCAUCUCCACCCCCACCCUACUACUAUAAAUCUCCUCCACCACCAUCACCAUCUCCUCCACCUCCAUACUACUACAAGUCCCCUCCUCCUCCAUCGCCAUCUCCCCCUCCACCAUACUAUUACAAGUCACCACCGCCACCAUCGUCAUCACCUCCACCACCCUACUACUACAAGUCUCCUCCUCCUCCAUCACCUUCUCCCCCUUCACCAUACUACUACAAGUCACCACCACCUCCAUCGCCAUCUCCACCACCACCCUACUAUUACAAGUCCCCUCCUCCACCAUCCCCAUCACCACCUCCACCCUACUACUACAAGUCGCCUCCUCCACCGUCACCUUCUCCACCACCUCCCUACUACUAUCACUCUCCACCUCCACCAGUAAAGUCUCCUCCUCCUUAUUACUACACCUCACCACCUCCACCAGUGAAAUCACCUCCUCCACCCGUAUAUAUUUACGCUUCCCCACCUCCUCCAAUCCACUACUAAGAGUUUCCAGCAGUUCAGCCAUUCUCCGCACUCAAUCAAGUGAGUAGUUGUUUAAAUUGUAAUUUUUUUCAUAUGAGAUCAAUUUUUUUUCAUUACGACUCUAAUCUUCUAUUUGAUUGUUUCUUUUCAGAUUUUAGUUGGAAACACAAAAUAAAUGAUGGCUUCUUGAGGAAAAGAUUCAAACAUCAAUGGAACAAAGCAAUUAAUUUAUGGAAUAAGACAUUCAAUUUUUCAAUUGAAGGAUUGAUUCUAAGUUACAUGGACCAGUUUGGUUCUACUUCUCUUUUAGCCUUCUUGCACAUUGUUCUCUUAGUGCGUUCACACAUGAACGUGUCUAAGCUUUGAUGCUUCUUAGAGUUCAUUUCUUCGUAAUUUAUUGUUUUAUAUUGAGGACACUGUCCUCAUUUUAUUCAUUCCUAUUAAUUAUUGUAUGUUGUUCUUUUGUAAUACCUUCAUGUACUUUGUGCACAAAUCAAUAAAAAGAUCAAUUUCAUUACAUGCACUUUCAUUUCUUUCUUCUACAUCUUUCCCCUCUUCACAAAUGUUACAAACAAAUUAAAUUAUCUUCUCCAAAUAUAUCUAAGCAAAUUGAAGAUUUUCACCAUGCUUGUGAUCAGUUGGUACAAGAGUAUCACACUUAGGUUUCGAAUAUGUUGAGCAUGUCACAUAGCGCAUUUGGUAAUAGUUGGUACAAGAUUCAGAUAAUGCCCAUAGUAACGCACAUUUGCAUUUACCAGUAAUAAACUCUAUCAACAUCAGCGUUGUUUUAUACCAGCUAGCUUGAGUCCGCGUCAGAGAAUAUACAUAUCCUGUCUACUCUACAGAUCAACAGGAAAGGAAAGUAAAACAGGGAAAUAGAUAUUAAUUAAUUUGGCUAAAUAAGUCAAAGUUGCUGCAAUUAUUUGUAAAUGUAGGACACCACAUAAUUUAAUAUCAUAGAAUAUAUGCACUAGCCUUUUUCUAGAAAUUUCCAUGUCUUACGAGUUUUGUAAGGUGAUACAGAGAUAUGCUUAUCAGCCCACACCCUGGCAAUUGAAAACAAAAUGGUAAGAGAGUGGAAGUAUUAAAAAAUAGCACUUUCUUUCCUUUAAGCCAUUACAUGGCAUGUGUUUUUGUGUGCUUCAUAUGGUGUGUUCCCAUAUACAGCAAGUAACAAACUACUUAUUGAAAAGAAAAUGUAGAAAUAUACAAAGUGAUACAGAGAUGGACUUUAAUAAAUAAGAUGACAACUUGUAGAUCCAGCUGGUAAGAACUAUUAAUAUUCUUUUUGCACUUUGAUUAUCAAUUAGAGCAAUUGAAUUGGUCCUUUAGACAGCUCUUUACUAACAACUACUUCUAAAGGUGUGUUACUAUAAAUGCAUAGGCCAAUGAAUCCCCAAACCUGCCAAGGGUCGUCGACAUUUGCCACAAAUCUUAGUGGCAUUGGCCAUAUUGGCUGUUGCUAAUGUAGUGUCAGCAGACCCUUAUGUGUACUCUUCUCCACCACCUCCAACGUAUGAGUACAAGUCACCACCACCUCCUUCGCCUUCUCCACCGCCACCUUAUGUGUACAAAUCUCCACCUCUUCCAUCACCUUCUGCCCCACCACCAUAUGUGUAUAAGUCUCCACCUCCUCCGUCACCAUCUCCACCACCACCCUAUGUGUAUAAGUCUCCGCCACCUCCAUCGCCAUCUCCACCACCACCAUAUGUGUAUAAGUCUCCCCCACCUCCAUCGCCAUCUCCACCACCACCAUAUGUUUAUAAGUCACCACUUCCUCCUUCUCCAUCACCACCUCCACCAUAUGUGUAUAAGUCUCCACCGCCUCCAUCGCCAUCUCCACCACCACCGUAUGUGUAUAAGUCUCCACCUCCUCCGUCACCGUCUCCACCACCACCCUAUGUAUAUAAGUCUCCCCCACCACCAUCACCAUCUCCACCUCCACCAUAUUACUACAAGUCCCUUCCUCCACCAUCACCUUCACCACCACCUCCAUAUUACUACAAGUCACCACCUCCAAUGGAUGUUCUAACCAAUUUUCGCACACCUCGACUAAUUCCACCGGAUACCAGUUAGCUUUCACUAGCAACAUGUAUCAAAUAAUUUUGUCCAUCGAGACUAGAACAAAUGGCAAGAAUCACCUAGUGCUUUUUGUCUCUAAUGAAAUUUGAACCUAAGAUCUCAUGAUUUUGAAUCCACCAAGGCUUCUACAUAAUUUAAUAGUACAAAAAAUUGAUAGACAAAAACGACAUACCUAGUGAGCUCCAACAAGUAAGGUCUGAAGAGGGUAAAGUAUACGCAAACCUUACCAGUAGCUUGAGGAGGUAGAGAGAUUGUUUUCGAAAGACCCUCGACUUAAGUGUAGCAAAUUAAUGUUUAAAAUUUCUAAGUGGGCAAUAAGUAAUUUCUUAAGCCAUCACCAGAGAUGAGAAAACAAAUUUUCGUGUAGCUUUGCAAAAAAAAGAAAAAAAAAAUUACUUUGGCUUGAUAAAGGUAAAGGAAAAAAAAAAACACAAAAUUAGUCACUAUAUAGAAAAUUAGCAUUGUUUAAUUUCCUUUUUGGUAAUCCAAUUAUGAAAACAAAUUGUGAAAUCUUCCUAGGGUUCGACACUGAGCAUGGAGAAAACUCUGUUGGGAGCGCUACCCUCCGAAUGGGGUCCUACCCGGCGCGAAUCCGGAUUAGUCGGGCUCCAAUGCGAGUACCGGACACUGGAUGAAAAACCAAAAAAAAAAAAAGUGAAAUCUUAGUGAUUUUUUCUAUCUAAUGAAUCAAAAUCUGCUUUAAAGUCAUCUAUCUUAUACGUAUCUCCGAGUAUAUGAGUGUGUUCUUACUACGAAAAAGAAAUAAUAAAAUAUAUGAUUCUCGAAACUCUCACUCAUUCUCUCCUUUCUUUUGUCUAAACAAUUUCAUUGACUAUAUGUGGAACAACUCGACAUAAAUUCGACAUAAUCGACACCUCAGAAUUUGAUCACCUCAACUCCAUUAUAUUUGAAUCCAAUAACAUUUCAAACCUAUAAACUUCAAAUUCCGAAUCUGUUUGUUUCCAAAGUCAACCACACUACUAACAUAGGCCUGCUAAGAAAAAUAGAAAUAACAAAGAAACAGACAAGAAGACCAAAUAAUUCUAUGAUCUCAAUGUUCAUAAGAUGCUUCCAUGUGGCAACAGAAUAACAAAAAAACUAUGUCAAUAGAGUAAGUGGAAAUAUUCAAAACCCAUCGUCAGGCCCCUUAAAUACGCGUCAUCUUUCAAUUAGGCACCUCAAGUGAACAUUGGUUCAUUUUGGCAUCUCAAGCGGCCUUCAAGUGUGUCACUUCAACACGUUUUGCUGAAUCAGCAAAAUAAUAUUAGUGCGUGAGCUACACUCUCCGCUGAGCUGGAAAGUGACGAAUAAAAUGCGGACACGUGUUAUUUUUGUCCAAAUAAUUUAUAAAUAAUAAAUUUUAAAUAAAAAAUACCCAAAUAAUUUAUAAAUAAUUAAUUUAAAUAAAAAAUACCCCCUCCCCCUAACCUACCCACCCCACCAACCUUCUUCUUCAAACACCCCAUCCACCCCACCAAAUUUUUUUCAUCGAUCUUGCUUCGAUUUUUAAUUUUUCUUCACUGAUUUUACUUGAUUUUUAGAUUUUCUUCAUGAAUUUAACUUCAUUUUUUUCAGAUUUGCUUCAUCUAUUUUGCUUCAAUUUUUAGUUUUUUUAAUUGAUUUUGUUUGAUUUUAAUUUUUCUUCACGGAUUUAGCUUUAUUUUUUAAUUUCUUUCAUCAAUUUUGCUCCGAUUUUCAAAUUUUCUUCACUGAUUUUUCUUGGUUUUUAUGCUUCAAUUUUGAUUUUUUUUUAUUGAUUUUGUUUGAUUUCAAUUUUUCUUCACUGAUUUGGCUUUAUUUUUCUAUUUUUCUUCAUCGAUUUUGUUUGAUUUUUAGUUUUUCUUCAUUGAUGUUGCUUAUUUUUUAUUUUUAUUCAUCAAUUUUGCCCUUAAUGAUAAAAAAAAAGGUGCUUAUCAUUUAAUCAUCACAAACCUUUAAAUGCGUAGAUAAAUUUCUCUCAAUAAUUCUUACCGUUAAAUAAAUUAAGAUUGACAAAAAUAACGGAUAAAAAUGCGAAAGAAUUAUAAAUUAAUGGGCAUUGAGUUAAUAUAUUGUUUUUGGCAAGACGAACUCCUAAAUAUGUAUCUAAUUUUUAAAUCUCUCUCAAUAAUUUCUACCAUUAAAUAAGCUUAAGAUUGACAAAAAAGAUGGAUAAAAAUAAGGAAAAAGGUAUAAAUUAAUUAAAAUGAGUUAAUAUAUUGUUGGUGGGCCAAUUUGGGCGCCACAACAGCCAAAAACAGGCUUUCAUGCGCCUUUUCGGAGUGUUCCGCACGAGUUUUGCCAACCAGGCAAAAGGUGCCAAAAUGGCACACUUUAAGGCCACUUGAAGUGCCAAAAUGAACCAAUGUCCACUUGAGGUGCCUAAAUGAAAGAUCGCGUGUACUUGAGAUGCCUGGCGAUGAGUUUUCCCUAAAAAUUAUCAAUCAAUGUCUAUGCACAUUCAUAUGUUGUAUCUCAUUUUCUAUGUAGUAGGUAACAAACUACUAGUUGUUAUAAAGAUAAAAGUUGGAAAACUGGAAAUAUUCAAAGUGAUACAAAGAUGGACUUUUAAUAAACAAGAUGUAAAACUUGUAGAUCCAGCUGUUAAGAGUAGUUUAAUAUACUUUUUACACAUUGAUUGUUAAUUAGAGCUAUUGAAUUGGUCAUUUAGACAGCUCUUUACUAACAACUAGUGUGUUAAUAUAAAUAGAUAGGCCAAUGAACCCUCUAAAGGCAUCAGUUCUCAACUGAAAAACUAAACUUGUCUUCUUUUUUCUUCCCUUAACUAGCCACAUUUGGGAGGCUAGGUGGUGUAUUUUCCGGCAAAAUGAGGCUUCACGGUGGCGGCCCUGCCAAGGGUCGUCGAUAUUUGCCACAAAUUUUAGUGGCGUUGGCCAUAUUGGCUGUUGCUAAUGUAGUGUCAGCAGACCCUUAUGUGUACUCUUCUCCACCACCUCCAACGUAUGAGUACAAGUCACCACCACCUCCUUCGCCAUCUCCACCGCCACCUUAUGUGUACAAAUCUCCACCUCCUCCAUCACCUUCUCCCCCACCACCAUAUGUGUAUAAGUCUCCACCUCCUCCGUCACCAUCUCCACCACCACCCUAUGUGUAUAAGUCUCCGCCACCUCCAUCGCCAUCUCCACCACCACCAUAUGUGUAUAAGUCUCCAUCACCUCCAUCGCCAUCUCCACCACCACCAUAUGUGUAUAAGUCUCCCCCACCUCCAUCGCCAUCUCCACCUCCACCAUAUUACUACAAGUCUCCUCCCCCACCAUCACCUUCACCACCACCUCCAUAUUACUACAAGUCGCCACCUCCAUCUUCACCAUCACCUCCACCACCAUACUAUUACAAAUCUCCACCACCGCCCUCACCAUCACCACCCCCGCCAUACAAUUAUAAGUUUCCACCACCACCUUCUCCUUCACCUCCUCCACCAUACUACUACUCCUCGCCGCCGCCGCCGCCACCAAAGAAAUCACCUCCCCCACCAUAUCACUAUACUUCUCCACCACCACCUGUUAAGUCACCACCUCCUCCAUACUACUACAGCUCUCCACCACCACCAGUGAAGUCUCCCCCUCCACCAUACUACUACUCCUCGCCGCCGCCGCCGCCACCAAAGAAAUCACCUCCCCCACCAUAUCACUAUACUUCUCCACCACCACCUGUUAAGUCACCACCUCCUCCAUACUACUACAGCUCUCCACCACCAACAUCGCCAUCCCCUCCACCUCCAUACUACUACAAGUCCCCUCCUCCACCAUCUCCAUCACCACCUCCACCCUACUACUACAAGUCUCCUCCUCCUCCUUCGCCUUAUCCCCCUCCCCCAUACUAUUACAAGUCACCACCACCUCCAUCGCCAUCUCCUCCACCACCCUACUACUACAAGUCACCACCGCCACCAUCCCCAUCACCACCUCCACCCUACUACUACAAGUCUCCUCCUCCUCCUUCGCCUUAUCCCCCUCCCCCAUACUAUUACAAGUCACCACCACCUCCAUCGCCAUCUCCUCCACCACCCUACUACUACAAGUCCCCUCCUCCACCAUCUCCAUCACCACCUCCACCCUACUACUACAAGUCGCCUCCUCCACCGUCACCUUCUCCACCACCUCCCUACUAUUACCACUCUCCACCUCCACCAGUAAAGUCUCAUCCUCCUCCUUAUUACUACAGCUCACCACCACCACCAGUGAAAUCACCUCCUCCACCCGUAUAUAUUUACGCUUCCCCACCACCUCCAGUCCACUACUAAGAGUUUCCAGCAGUUCAGCCAUUCUCCACGCUCAAUCAAGUGAGUAGUUGUUUAAAUUAGUAAAAAAAAUUUCAUAUGAGAUCAACUUUUUUUAGCACGGCUCUAAUCUUCUAUCUGAUUGUUUCUUUUUAGAUUUUAGUUGGAAACACAAAAUAAAUGAUGGCUUCUUGAGGAAAAGAUUCAAACGUCAAUGGAACAAAGCAAUUAAUUUAUGGAAUAAGACAUUCAAUUUUUCAAUUGAAGGAUUGAUUCUUAGUUACAUGGACCAGUUUGGUUCUACUUCUCUUUUAGCCUUCUUGCACAUUGUUCUCUUAGUGCGUUCACACAUGAACGUAUCUAAGCUUUGAUGCUUCUUAGAAUUCAUUUCUUCGUAAUUUAUUGUUUUAUAUUGAGGACACUGUCCUCAUUUUAUUCAUUCCUAUUAAUUAUUGUAUGUUGUUCUUUUGUAAUUCCUUCAUGUACUUUGUGCACAAAUCAAUAAAAAGAUCAAUUUCAGUACAUUCACUCUCUUUUCUUUCUUCUAUAUCUUUCCCCUCACAAAUGUUACAAACAACUUAAAUUAAUCUUCUCCAAAUAUAUCUAAGCAAAUUGGAGAUGAAAAUACCUACAAUUAUUUUAAAAUAUUUAAUAGUUUAAUGUAGAAGUAGUUCAUGACAUGACUAUAAGUAAAACACCUAAAAAAGCACCUCUGUGUUACCAAAAUGAACUGGGUACCUCUUACCAAAAUUAUAAAGAUGACAAUACAAAAAUGGAAGAAAAGCCAGUUUCCUUUUCUUUUUUUUUUGGUUGCAACAGAAAUUCUAACUGUUGCCUCCACAUGCAGUUGAUCUCAUCAUUGAGCAUUCACACGAAUUUCUAAGAUUAUUACAAUGAAGAGAUCAAAAAGGCUAUAAUAUGAUGCUUUGAAUAGUAAGCAAAAAUGAAUGAAAAUAUCAAAAUACUUUUGAAUAACUUAUUUCAUGAACUGACGCUUCUGAAAUAAAUAAUAAAACAUUUCCGAAUAACGAAAAUUUGUGAAACUUAUUUUUAAAUUACAUAAAUACACUCGGUAUGUUGUUUACACUGGCCUCCCCAUACCACUUAUCGGAUUACACCGGGUAUGUUGUUCUUGCAGUUGUAAAUGCGGAUUUGGUGAAACAAUUCAAUGUCAAAAAAAAAAGAAAAAAGAACAACAUUUCUAGUUGGCAACAAAUAAUUUGAAGCAAUCAAUAUACAUAUUUGUAAUUUAUAAACCAUGUAUCCAUCAGACCAUCACAGUAAAAAAGGUUAUUUUAAGUUAUCAAGGUUCUUGCGACCAACUAGUGAUCCAAAAAGAAAAUAAAUCACCUAUUCACUAACAAAUUGAAGAUUUUCACCAUGCUUGUGAUCAGUUGGUACAAGAGUAUCAUACUUAGGUUUCGAAUAUGUUGAGCAUGUCACAUGGCGCAUUUGGUAAAAGUUGGUAAAAGAUUCAGACAAUGCCACAGUAACGCACCUUAGCAUUUACCAGUAAUAAACUCUAUCAACAUCAGCGUUGUUUUAUACCAGCUAGCUUGAGUCCGCGUCAGAGAAUACACAUAUCCUGUCUCCUCUACAACAGGAAAGUAAAACAGGGGAAGAGAUAUUAAUUAAUUUGGCUAAAUAAGUCAAAGUUGCUGCAAUUAUUUGUAAAUGUAGGACACCACAUAAUUUAAUAUCAUAGAAUAUAUGCACUAGCCUUUUUCUAGAAAUUUCCAUGUCUUACAAGUUUUGUAAGGUGAUACAGAGAUAUGCUUAUCAGCCCACACCCUGGCAAUUGAAAACAAAAUGGCAAGAGAGUGGAAGUAUUAAAAAAUAGCACUUUCUUUCCUUUAAGCCAUUACAUGGCAUGUGUUUUUGUGCGCUUCAUACGUUGUGUUCCCAUAUACAGCAAGAAACAGACUACUAGUUGUUAUAAAGAUAAAGUUGGAAAACUGGAAAUAUUCAAAGUGAUACAAAGGGAGACUUUUAAUAAAUAAGCUGUAAAACUUGUAGAUCCAGCUGUUAAGAGUUGUUUAAUUUACACUUUGAUUGUUAAUUAGAGCAAUUGAAUUGGUCAUUUAGACAGCUCUUUACUAACAACUAGUUUUCAAGGUGUGUUACUAUAAAUACAUAGGCCAAUGAAUCCUCUAAAGGCAUCACUUCUCAACUGAAAAAACUAAACUUGUCUUCUUUCUUCUUCCCUUGACUAGCCACAUUUGGGAGGCUAGGUGGCGUAUUUUCCGGAAAAAUGAGGCUUCACGGUGGCGGCCCUGCCAAGGGUCAUCGACAUUUGCCACAAAUCUUAGUGGCAUUGGCCAUAUUGGCUGUUGCUAAUGUAGUGUCAGCAGACCCUUAUGUGUACUCUUCUCCACCACCUCCAACGUAUAAGUCACCACCACCUCCUUCGCCUUCUCCACCGCCACCUUAUGUGCACAAAUCUCCACCUCCUCCAUCACCUUCUCCCCCGCCUCCAUAUGUUUAUAAGUCACCACCUCCUCCUUCUCCAUCUCCACCACCACCUUAUGUGUAUAAGUCUCCCCCACCACCAUCACCAUCUCCACCUCCACCAUAUUACUACAAGUCCCCUCCUCCACCAUCACCUUCACCACCACCACCAUAUUACUACAAGUCGCCACCUUCACCAUCAUCUCCACCACCAUACUAUUACAAAUCUCCACCCCCGCCCUCACCAUCACCACCCCCGCCAUACAAUUAUAAGUCUCCGCCACCACCUUCUCUUUCACCUCCUCCACUAUACUACUACAAAUCUCCACCACCUCCUUCACCAUCUCCUCCUCCACCUUAUUACUACAAGUCUCCACCUCCUCCAUCUCCAUCACCACCUCCACCUUACUACUACAAGUCUCCACCACCACCGGUUAAGUCACCUCCUCCCCCAUACUAUAACAGCUCUCCACCACCACCAGUGAAGUCUCCCCCUCCACCAUACUACUACUCCUCGCCACCACCACCAAAGAAAUCACCUCCCCCACCAUAUCACUAUACUUCUCCACCACCACCUGUUAAGUCACCGCCUCCUCCAUACUAUUACAGCUCCCCACCACCACCAAAGAAAUCACCUCCUCCGCCAUAUUACUACAGUUCCCCACCAUCACCAGUGAAGUCACCUCCAACUCCAUACUACUACAAGUCUCCACCACCACCACCAAAGAAAUCUACUCCCCCACCAUACUACUACACUUCACCACCACCACCAACUCAUUACUAUCCUCCACAUCAUCAAUUCGUGGUCAAAGUUGUCGGAAAAGUCUAUUGUUUUAGAUGCUACGACUGGAAGCACCUAGAAAUGUCUCAUGGCAAGAAACACCUGAAAGGUAUCACAAUAUAAUUUAUACAACACUCGCAUUCUUUAUUUUCCUUUAAAAUAUCAUCAAAAAUAUAUUUAACUAUAUAUUAUCUUUUUUGUUGCUUUGCUCCUUACGCUCUUAAAAGAAUUCAUAAAUGUGUAUCUUUAUUUGGAUCUUUGAUCCAUUUAUGUUUUUCCAAAUCUGAAGUAACAUUAAAAUUUAAAAAGUCAAGAAAUUUUUUAAGGCAAGGACCAUAUCUAUAAUUGUGACUAUAGAGUAAAACAUAUUGAAAAAGAAGGUAUUCUGUUCUUGCUUGCAAAUGAAGAAUUAAUAUCGAGUGUAAUUCAUUCUCACAUUGGCAGACAAAAGUCUGUACACAUUGGCACACAAGUUGCCAUUAACAUGCAGUUUAUUUCCCUUAUUAGAUUACAAAAUAUUUUUUAUAGUGUGAUGAGAAGGUUUGUUUUAUUUCAUAUUAUGAGGUGAAAAGUGCUCGGAUCUAAAUGAUCAUCAUUAGUAUUGGAGUUAAUUAAUGUUUUCUUUUAUGGAUUAGGUGCGGUUGUUGAAGUGACUUGCAAGGCUGGUGACAAGAAAAUUGUGAGUUAUGGUACCACUAAGAUCAAUGGAAAAUUUAGCGUCACAGUAGAAGGAUUUGAAUAUCGCAAAUAUGGAGCAAAGGCUUGCAAGGCUAAACUCCACAAUGCUCCAAAGGACUCAAAGUGCAACAUUCCUACAAACCUUCAUUGGGGAAUAAAGGGUGCUAACCUCAAAGUGAAAUCAAAGAAUAGUUAUGAAGUUGUACUUUAUGCAAAACCAUUUGCUUAUGGAUCUAAAACACCUUAUGCAGAAUGCCAAAAGCCCAAGCCUACACCUGCUCCAUACUAUUAUAAAUCUCCUCCACCUCCAUCACCGACUUAUGUGUACAAGUCACCACCUCCUCCAUCACCAAAGUAUGUGUAUAAUUCACCACCUCCCCCAACCCCGACAUAUGUUUAUAAGUCUCCACCACCACCUGCCUACUAUUACAAAUCACCACCACCACCAACUAAGUCUCCACCUCCACCAUCACCAAAACCUGCACCAGUAUACUAUUAUAAAUCACCACCACCCCCAUCACCGUCACCACCCCCACCUUACUACUACAAGUCCCCGCCACCACCAUCACCGAAACCUGCACCUGUUUACUAUUUUAAAUCACCACCACCCCCAUCACCGUCACCACCCCCACCUUACUACUACAAGUCCCCGCCACCACCAUCACCGAAACCUGCACCUGUUUACUAUUUUAAAUCACCACCACCCCCAUCACCGUCACCACCCCCACCUUACUACUACAGGUCCCCACCACCACUAUCACCAUCUCCUCCACCUCCAUACUACUACAAGUCCCCUCCUCCUCCAUCGCCAUCUCCCCCUCCACCAUACUAUUACAAGUCACCACCGCCACCAUCCCCAUCACCUCCACCACCCUACUAUUACAAGUCUCCUUCUCCUCCAUCGCCUUCUCCCCUUCCCCCAUACUACUACAAGUCCCCUCCUCCACCAUCCCCAUCACCACCUCCACCCUACUACUACAAGUCUCCUCCUCCUCCAUCGCCUUCUCCCCUUCCCCCAUACUACUACAAGUCCCCUCCUCCACCAUCCCCAUCACCACCUCCACCCUACUACUAUAAGUCGCCUCCUCCACCAUCACCUUCUCCACCACCUCCCUACUACUACCACUCUCCACCUCCACCAGUAAAGUCUCCUCCUCCUCCUUAUUACUACAGCUCACCACCACCACCAGUGAAAUCACCUCCUCCACCCGUAUAUAUUUAUGCUUCCCCACCUCCUCCAGUCCACUACUAAGAGUUUCCAGCAGUUCAGCCAUUCUCCGCGCUCAAUCAAGUGAGUAGUUGUUUAAAUUAGUAAAAAAAAUUUCAUAUGAGAUCAACUUUUUUUCAUUACAGCUCUAAUCUUCUAUUUGAUUGUUUCUUUUCAGAUUUUAGUUGGAAACACAAAUUAAAUGAUGGCUUCUUGAGGAAAAGAUUCAAACAUCAAUGGAACAAAGCAAUUAACUUAUGGAAUAAGACAUUCAAUUUUUCAAUUGAAGGAUUGAUUUUUAGUUACAUGGACCAGUUUGGUUCUACUUCUCUUUUAGCCUUCUUGCACAUUGUUCUCUUAGUGCGUUCACACAUGAACGUAUCUAAGCUUUGAUGCUUUUUAGAGUUCAUUUCUUCGUAAUUUAUUGUUUUAUAUUGAGGACCACUGUCCUCAUUUUAUUCAUUCCUAUUAAUUAUUGUAUGUUGUUCUUUUGUAAUACCUUCAUGUACUUUGUGCACAAAUCAAUAAAAAGAUCAAUUUCAUUACAUUCACUUUCUUUUCUUUCUUCUGCAUCUUUCCCCUCUUCACAAAUGUUACAAACAAAUUAAAUUAAUCUUCUCCAAAUAUAUCUAAGCAAAUUGGAGAUGAAAAUACCUACAAUUAUUUUAAGAUAUUUAAUAGUUUAAUGUAGAAGUAGUUCAUGACAUAACUAUAAGUAAAACACCUAAAAAACACCUCUGUGUUACCACAAUGAACUAGUUACUUCUUACCAAAAUGGAAGAAAAGCCAUUUUCCUUUUUCUUGUUUUAGUGUGGCAACAGAAAUUUUAACUGUUGCCUCCACAUGCAGUUGAUCUCAUCAUUGAGCAUUCACACGAAUUUCUAAAGAUUAUUAUAAUGAAGAGAUUAAGAAGGCUAUAAUAUGAUGCUUUGAAUAGUAACCAAAAAUGAAUGAAAAUAUCAAAAUACUUUUGAAUAACUUAUUUCAUGAACUGAUGCUUCUGAAAUAAAUAAUAAAACAUUUCAGAAUAAAGAAAAUUUGUCAAACUUAUUUUUCAAUAACAUAAAUACUCUUGGUAUGUUGUUUACACUGGCCUCCCAUACCACUUGUCAGAUUACACUUAGUAUGUUGUUCUUGUUGUUGUAAACUCGGAUUUGGUGAAACAAUUCAAUGUCAAAAAAAAAAAAACAUCAUUUCAGUUGGCAACAUAUAAUUUAAAGCAAUCAAUAUACAUAUUUGUAAUUUAUAAACCAUGUGUCCAUCAGACCAUCUCAGUAAAAAAGGUUUUUUUAAGUUAUCAAGGUUAUUGCGACCAACUAGUGAUCCAAAAGAAAAUAAAUCAUCUAUUCGCUAACAAAUUGAAGAUUUUCACCAUGCUUGAGAUCAGUUGGUACAAGAGUAUCACACUUAGGUUUCGAAUAUGUUGAGCAUUUCACAUAGCGCAUUUGGUAAUAGUUGGUACAAGAUUCAGGCAAUGCCACACCUUAGCAUUUACCAGUAAUAAACUCUAUCAAUGCCAGCGUUGUUUUAUACCAGCUAGCUUGAGUCCGCGUCAGAGAAUAUACAUAUCCUGUCUCCUCUACAGAUCAGCAGGAAAGUAAAACAGGGGAAAAGAUAUUAAUUAAUUUGGCUAAAUAAGUCAAAGUUGCUGCAAUUAUUUGUAAAUGCAGGACACCACAUGAUUUAAUAUCAUAGAAUAUAUGCACUAGCUUUUUUCUAGAAAUUUUCAAACUUAUAAGUUUUUAAAGGUGAUAUAGAGAUAUGCUUAUCAGCCCACACCCUGGCAAUUGAAAACAAAAUGGCAAGAGAGUGGAAGUAUUAAAGAAUAGCACUUUCUUUCCUUUAAGCCAUUACAUGGCAUGUGUUUUUGUGUGCUUCAUAUGGUGUGUUCCCAUAUACAGCAAGUAACAAACUACUUAUUGAAAAGAAAAUGUAGAAAUAUACAAAGUGAUACAGAGAUGGACUUUAAUAAAUAAGAUGACAACUUGUAGAUCCAGCUGGUAAGAACUAUUAAUAUUCUUUUUGCACUUUGAUUAUCAAUUAGAGCAAUUGAAUUGGUCCUUUAGACAGCUCUUUACUAACAACUACUUCUAAAGGUGUGUUACUAUAAAUGCAUAGGCCAAUGAAUCCCCAAAGUGCAUCAGUUCUCAACAGUAAAAACUAAAAGUUGUCUCUUUUACUCUUCAGUUAACUAGCCACAUUUGGAGGCUAGGUGGUAUAAUUAUCCGGCGAAAUGAGAAUUCAAGGUGGCGGCCCUGCCAAGGGUCGUCAAUAUUUGUCACAAAUUUUAGUGGCAUUGGCCAUUUUGGCUGUUGCUAAUAUAGUAUCGGCAGAUCCUUAUGUAUACUCUUCGCCUCCACCUCCACCGUAUGUGUACAAGUCACCACCACCUCCUUCUCCUUCUCCACCACCACCUUAUGUGUACAAAUCUCCACCUCCUCCAUCACCUUCUCCCCCGCCUCCAUAUGUUUAUAAGUCACCUCCUCCUCCUUCUCCACCUCCACCUCCACCAUAUGUGUAUAAGUCUCCACCGCCUCCAUCGCCAUCUCCACCUCCACCAUAUUACUACAAGUCCCCUCCUCCACCAUCACCUUCACCACCACCACCAUAUUACUACAAGUCUCCACCUCCACCUUCACCAUCACCUCCACCACCAUAUUAUUACAAAUCUCCACCACCGCCCUCACCAUCACCACCACCACCAUACUAUUAUAAGUCUCCACCGACACCUUCUCCUUCACCUCCUCCACCAUACUCCUAUAAAUCUCCACCACCUCCUUCACCAUCUCCUCCGCCACCUUAUUACUACAAGUCUCCACCUCCUCCAUCUCCAUCACCACCACCACCAUAUUAUUACAAGUCUCCUCCUCCACCAUCCCCAUCACUACCCCCACCUUACUUCUACAAGUCUCCACCUCCACCGGCUAAGUCACCUCCUCCCCCAUACUACUACAGUUCUCCACCACCAGCAGUGAAGUCUCCCCCUCCACCAUAUUACUACUACUCACCACCACCACCAAAGAAAUCACCUCCCCCACCAUAUCACUAUACUUCUCCACCACCACCUGUUAAGUCACCGCCUCCUCCAUACUAUUACAGCUCCC